UUCCUGAGACUGUGAAUUCUAUUUUAUUCAUGUUUGCUGCUUUUGUAUCUGCUGAAUGCCAGCUCCCUCUUUUCCAUGGGGUAGGAUUGCAGGAUCUGUGCUCUUUGUUUUAAUAACUUUCUCCUCUUUGAAAUUCCAUUCUUUCUGGUCUGUUUUUAGAUGAUGAAGGAUAGACACUGUGCUGGGCACUAAAGCAUGGACUGGAAGUUUGCACUCUGGUGGCAGGUACUCCUAUCUGAUCCCCUGGCCUGAUGGGGCUGAGGAGGGCUUAGGUGCUGUUUCUCAGCUGUGAUUUCCUCCAUUUAUUAAUUUCAGUGUUGAUUGAAAUGUUUGUCUUUAUUUAUAGCAUAUCCAACAGCUGUGUUGCAACAGAGAAGGUAAGUUUAGAGCUGGGGACAAAGGGGCUGACAAGCUCUGGAUAAUUAAUCUGUUAUGGGUUUUUUUUCUGAUACAAUCCUUAAAGUUUAUAGACAGAUGUUGGAUGUAUUUUCUUGGAGUGUCCUGAUGCUUAAGAUCAGACAGAAAACCAUUGUAAGCACAAUCAAAGAAAUUUCUCAUGAAGAAAAAUUAAUUCUGAAUGUUGGUUUGGGAGAUGAUGGUGAAACUAAUGGGAAAUUGUGAUCUUGGAAAUCAGACAGCUGCUAAAGCCAUUACAAAAUGGCAAGAAACAGAGCAUUUAUUAUAUAUUAUAUAGGGAGGAGAAGAGAUUAAUUUGAGAAUUAGAUUUUUAACCAUUCUUGUAGUAUUUAUUUGUUCUUUAAGAUACAGACACAAAUGUAAAUUCACCAAUCUGUUCUAUGAGAUAUUUUUCCUAUUAAUUUUCCUGAUUGAGAAUUAUUGUUAAUGUCACACUUGUUGCUAGAAGCUGUUGAGCUGGUCAUGCUCAUUUUUCUCUGCUGAGCUCAGUGAAUUUUGCUCUCCACUGUGAUGGAGGAUUACUGGUUGCUGUUAGCUGUGCUUUAAAGACAAGAAUUCCUGGGUUUGAUCAAGUUUAGGACAUGUUUGUUCUAAAGCCUAAUAAAAGCAUUAACUAAUAUAUAUUUCACUUUUCUGAUGUGGGUUAUAAGGGACUUGCCAGUCAAUACAUCUGAAUUUCCUUGUUUUGACAGGUAAUUAAACCUGGAUCUCUUCCUUAGCUAGCAAAGCAAACACUCUCAGAUAUGCUUUGCUAGGCAGAAUCAGGUAUAGACAGCAAGGUUUUAUUAUCUGUGAGGAAAAAUGCACUAUAAGAACAUGAAAUCUUGAUGACCUUGAAUGAAAACAAAGAAAUAAAAUUUUAUGAGAUACAGUAUAUUAAUGCCCCAACUCGGAUGUAGGAAUUCCUGUGCAGUAAUUUUGUUUGAAGUGCCAUUAAAGCUCUGUGUCCAAUCUAUACUUCUGCAGGAAAUGUGAAAUAUCCCAGGGACUGGCUGGCUACCUGAAGGACCCCAGUGUCUGCCUUUCAUGGCAAGUGACCUGAGCAUUGAUGUGCCCCUGGUAGCAGUUCAGGGAGGAUGGAAGGUAGCCUGUGUGCCCAUGCAGAUCUGGUUUCAAGAGCUUCUUUUUGCUUUAUGAUGAACUGGAUUUCCUACAGAGUCUUACAAAACAUGAAAAGUAAUAAAAUCUCUUUGGUCAUGA